GUCCACGCCGUAAACGAUGCAUGCUGGCUGUCGGAGGUAUUCACCCCCUCGGUAGCGAAGCUAACGCGUUAAGCAUGCCGCCUGGGGAGUACGGCCGCAAGGUUGAAACUCAAAGGAAUUGACGGGGGCCCGCACAAGCGGUGGAGUAUGUGGUUUAAUUCGACGCAACGCGCAGAACCUUACCCAGCCUUGACAUCCGCAGAACCUGAUAGAAAUAUCGGGGUGUCCUGGCAACAGGAAGCUGCGAGACAGGUGCUGCAUGGCUGUCGU
rnacentral:rRNA from 1 species